UUCGGUCGGUACAAUAAAUAGUUGUCACCAUCGCGUCAAACUGUCAAAGUCGAAUCUGAGAUUGACAGGAAAAAUUUAUCAACUCCCUAAAGGAGUUUAUGAACAACAGCGAAUUUAUUUCAUCCUAAUACCAAUAAUUCAGGAUGCGAAAGAUGUCGACAGAGGUGUUGUUCGGCAGUGGCGGGAUUCUUCACAAGGCACUGAUGUUCAUGAUGAAACUUGGAUGGAUAUCAAGGGUUCGACUUCCGGUUCUUACAAUCGUUGCCUUGCUCGCCCUCGUUGGAAGGGUGGAAUUAGAAA